ensembl:rRNA 5S_rRNA 5S ribosomal RNA
GCUUACGGCCAUACCAGCACAAGAACGCCUGAUCUCGGAAGCUAAGAAGACUUGGGCCUGGUUAGUACUUGGAUGGGAGACCUCCUGGGAAUACCAGGUGCUGUAAGCU